GACGUAGGAGGCGAGCGUUAUCCGGAUUCACUGGGCGUAAAGCGCAUGUAGGCGGUUGCACAAGUCCGUUGUUAAAGCCCCUGGCUCAACUGGGGGAGGUCAAUGGAGACUGUGCGACUUGAGGGCAAUAGAGGCACGUGGAACUCCCGGUGUAGCGGUGGAAUGCGUAGAGAUCGGGAAGAACACCAGUGGCGAAGGCGACGUGCUGGGUUGCACCUGACGCUGAGAUGCGAAAGCGUGGGGAGCAAACAGG
rnacentral:rRNA from 1 species